UCUGAUGGUAAAGAAUCUGCCUACAAUGCAGAGAACCCAGGUUCGAUCCCUGG
rnacentral:tRNA from 1 species